UAANCAUCCCACGCGNUNGGGGGUUNUCCNANAUGUUNACCNNCAGGCGGCCNNGAAUUCANUAUGAUUUAGCAUGGAAUAAUAGAAUAGGACGNGUGGUUNUAUUUUGUUGGUUUNUAGGACCCCCGUAAUGAUUAAUAGGGACAGUCGGGGGCAUCAGUAUUCAAUUGUCAGAGGUGAAAUUNUUGGAUUUAUUGAAGACUAACUACUGCGAAGCAUUUGCCAAGGAUGUUUUCAUUAAUCAGGAACGAAAGUUAGGGGAUCGAAGACGAUCAGAUACCGUCGUAGUCUUAACCAUAAGCUAUGCCGACUAGGGAUCGGACGAUGUUAUAUUUUGACUCGUUCGGCACCUUACGAGAAAUCAAAGUGCUUGGGCUCCAGGGGGAGUAUGGUCGCAAGGCUGAAACUUAAGGAAAUUGACGGAAGGGCACCACCAGGGGUGGAGCCUGCGGCUUAAUUUGACUCAACACGGGGAAACUCACCAGGUCCAGACACAAUGAGGAUUGACAGAUUGAGAGUUCUUUCUUGAUUUUGUGGGUGGUGGUGCAUGGCCGUUCUUAGUUGGUGGAGUGAUUUGUCUGCUUAAUUGCGAUAACGAACGAGACCUUAACCUGCUAAAUAGCCCGUAUUGCUUUGGCAGUACGCUGGCUUCUUAGAGGGACUAUCGGCUCAAGCCGAUGGAAGUUUGAGGCAAUAACAGGUCUGUGAUGCCCUUAGAUGUUCUGGGCCGCACGCGCGCUACACUGACGGAGCCAGCGAGUACUUCCUUGGCCGAAAGGCCCGGUAAUCUGUACUCCUGC
rnacentral:rRNA from 1 species